rnacentral:ncRNA from 1 species
CCCACCUCUUACGAGGUGGGCUAUUUUCUUGCGUGCCUUCGGGACU